rnacentral:rRNA from 1 species
GACGGAGGAUGCAAGCGUUAUCCGGAAUUAUUGGGCGUAAAGCGUCCGUAGGCGGUUUCAAAAGUCUGUUGUUAAAGCCCACAGCUCAACUGUGGAUCGGCAAUGGAAACUGUGAGACUAGAGAGUGGUAGGGGUAGAGGGAAUUCCUAGUGUAGCGGUGAAAUGCGUAGAUAUGUGGAGGAAUACCGAUGGCGAAGGCAGCCCCCUGGGUCGAUACUGACGCUCAUGCACGAAAGCGUGGGGAGCAAACAGG